AUUGAACGCUGGCGGCAGGCUUAACACAUGCAAGUCGAGCGGGGUGAUGGUGCUUGCACUAUCACUUAGCGGCGGACGGGUGAGUAAUGCUUAGGAAUCUGCCUAUUAGUGGGGGACAACAUCUCGAAAGGGAUGCUAAUACCGCAUACGUCCUACGGGAGAAAGCAGGGGAUCACUUGUGACCUUGCGCUAAUAGAUGAGCCUAAGUCGGAUUAGCUAGUUGGUGGGGUAAAGGCCUACCAAGGCGACGAUCUGUAGCGGGUCGGAGAGGAUGAUCCGCCACACUGGGACUGAGACACGGCCCGGACUCCUACGGGAGGCAGCAGUGGGGAAUAUUGGACAAUGGGGGGAACCCUGAUCCAGCCAUGCCGCGUGUGUGAAGAAGGCCUUAUGGUUGUAAAGCACUUUAAGCGAGGAGGAGGCUCUUUUGGUUAAUACCCAAGAUGAGUGGACGUUACUCGCAGAAUAAGCACCGGCUAACUCUGUGCCAGCAGCCGCCGUAA
rnacentral:rRNA from 1 species